rnacentral:antisense_RNA from 1 species
GCAAGUUGAAGAGGCAUGUUCAAGAUUUGUCAAAUUACAAGAAUUUGUUACUUGAAUCAUAUGACAUCACUCAGAUGACACCACUCAGACUGAUAAUACAGCUCAACAAGUUCUGCAAUCCCACCCAGGAAACUGACUCUGCUUGAAUUACUCUUUCUCCAUUGCAAUUCCCCUGUCCUGAUAAGCUGGCCCUGUGUAGGCAGCAGGCAAGGUGAACCCUUGAUUACAAAAGGAUGAAGAAACUGAAGAAUCAACAACUCUUAGAUCGAUCAGAGAAGCGAGGGCACAGGGCAAACCACUGCCUCCAAAACCGGAAAGCCUGUGUGGAUGAAUAUUGCUUCCAGGAUUCACAUAAUUACAUCUAAAAUCUUAGAAUGUUAGAGCUGGAGGAAUCUUUAGAGUUUGCCCAAGGUCCUUCACCAGCAUUUUACAGAAGAUUCUUCGAUGCUCUUAAUUACAUCCAGUUGCACUGGCCCCAUCAAGUUGCUUUAAACAGCCCUUCCAGUCAACAGAGCUGCAGAGAAAAACCUUGGUUGGUUCAGGUCACUAGGAUGCAGGACCAUGGGCAGCCAGCUAGUAGCAGUGUGAUCUGACAGCCCCUUUCUUCAGCCGAAACAAUUCUCCACUCCUCAUAUCUGAAGUUGCUUCCAAAAAUGAGCUGCCCACACACAGCCCUUGCCCCAGGCUUUGCUUUCUGAGAAACUUAGGCUGAGAA